UAAAACCUUUAGGGCAUUUUUCAGACACUCCUCUUGCAAGCAAGUAUCCUCCCAUUUGUGCAGGUGAAUUUGUUGAACAAGAGCUUGCUAUCAUAAAUCUUAAAGGUAAUAAUGGAGCAUGAUAAUCCCUAUUCAAGAUAGUAAGUGGAUACCUGUAGCAGGUUUAACUUCUUGAAAGUGAUGCUAACUUGGACUUGUUCUUUUUUGCUAGCUAUUCGCACACAUAGCAUCAGAUGCUGUGCUAAAACCUUUAGGGCAUUUUUCAGACACUCCUCUUGCAAGCAAGUAUCCUCCCAUUUGUGCAGGUGAAUUUGUUGAACAAGAGCUUGCUAUCAUAAAUCUUAAAGGUAAUAAUGGAGCAUGAUAAUCCCUAUUCAAGAUUAAGUGGGGAUACAUCUAGCACUCGAGGAGCUAUAAAAGACGCAAGUUGAAAUAAGAUUCUUUUGUCAAUUCGUGUCCAAUAAACAAGCACAAGGGCAGGAGAGCCUUUAUCAAGGUGCAAAGUAUAAUUGUAUCAUCAAUACAGUAUUUACUUUGUUCAAGACUCGAAGUGAUUAGGCAUAUUUCCCAAUUGACUGCAAUAUGUGCUACAUUUGUUUUAGAGAAAAAGACACUUAGAGCUCCUUUUAAGUACUUAAUGACCAAAAUGCUCCCCUUUUUGGAAAAAGACAAAACAUGCCCCUUUUGACGGUUUUAAGACCAAUCCUUCCUUUCUAUGCCUAGGGCUGGUCUUCACCAACGCUCCUCCUUUUUUCCUUUGUUUUUUACACGCUUUUUUUUGUCUUUUU
rnacentral:lncRNA from 1 species